AUAUCUGCUCAUAGAACGUGAGCAGGGUAAACUAAAAAAAGUUCACCGAGA
ncrna:unclassified sequences 6A RNA